GAGUCUGAGCUGUGUGCGCGUUCCAGUUCAGCGAGCAUGUCGUACGCGCAGGAACCCUCUGAAGUGCAGAGAGUAGGAAGGUACUGGACACCUCCACCACCCUUCUCCCCAGCCUCGGGGUUGCUCCCUCCCUCUGGCCCAGCCGUCACCCAACGGACCAAGGGUGCCUGUCUGACUGUGCCCUGCCUGCCUGGGGCACGGGCAUCACCUCUGAGCUGAUGUUGGGUGAAGGAAUGAAUGACGGGGUGGUGACAGCACACAGGAGCUGACCGCCCCCAUCAGAGCAGCAGCCUCCCACUCCCAUUUCUUGGGAAGCCCUGCACACCCAGCGGCCUCUGGGGGAUGCCAGAAGGUGGGGGAAAGUCAACUGGUCACAAGAACAGCCCCGGAGGGACACGACGGUGGCAGGGGCCUGACUUCACCAAGAACCCUCCCCUCAGGGCCCCUGUGGACAGAGAAUGUUGCCCACCAUCAAGCCUUCUGCCACUGCAGCGCCGCCCCGCUUCCCCACAGUGGUGCGCCCUGAGGGGAUUCAGGAUGGAGAAAAACCAGAUACUGGCCCUAGAUAGCUGAAGUGCAUAUCAAAGGAAUGAUUUCAGUGAGCCCAGACAGCAUCUAGCAUCUUCCCAUACACAGAAAAGCACUGCAAUCAUUAACUAGAGACGUCAGCUUUUUGCGAUUAGCAGGAAACUUUUGAUGUUUGACUCUGGUUUUGUUUUCUUCAGCAAAAACUCCUAGGAACAGUUCCUCAGAGCUAUAUGAGAAGCAAUGUCUUGGGCUACAGUCCUCAGUGAGUUCCUGGAAUAAAACAUAACUCAGCUUUCAGGUCUUGUAUUUUUCAGUCGAUACCCCCUGGGGACCCUGCAGCGCUGGCUGCUGUGUCCUCAGAUGGGAGCCUGCCCUCUAGGCCUUUAGCAGAAGCCAGCGGAACUUCUGCAGAAGUGGAGUGGCAAGGGGGCCUCCUCCAGGCAGCCCUCCUUCCAGCAUCUUUGUGCUCCUGCACUGGGACCUGGGGCCCCCCAGCAUCUCCCCGACCCAUGAGGCUCUUUGGGCUUCAC